AAGGGAGAACUGAAAAUAGUAAGCACUGCUAACACUUACAUCCCACGGUUAAAAUCCGCGGCUUCCUUG
rnacentral:tRNA from 1 species